AAUGAUAAAAUAUUGAUACACAUGUUUUAAUUUUUCCAAAAAAUUAUUGGUUUUCUUACACACAUAUUUAUGAAAGAAAAAAAAUUUAUUUUAUUAAAAAAUUUUAUAAAUACUCUUAUAUAUUAAUAACAUUUAAAAAUAAUUUUUCACCUAAUUUUUUUAAAAAUAUUACUACUCUUAUUAUCUUAAGCUCUCAUCAUCGAAUAAAAAUUUUUUUUCAUCAUUUUUUAUUACUUUUAUUUGUUUUUUCACCCUAAAAAUUUUAGACUAAUACAAUUAUCUAUUAAUAAAUUUAUUUUCUAUACAUACAUAUUUGCAAGUAUUAAAAUAAAUAAAUAUAAAGCAUAACUAAAUAAAAAAAAAAACCAAUAAAGACAUAAGCUUUAGACUCAAAUUAGUUGAACUUGCUCUACCGAAUUGUCUAGACCUAAAUUAGAUGAACUUCACCUGGUACAACUCCAAGCUUGAAAUAAACAACUAAAUGCAAUCCAUGUGAUUUUCUUUCACUUGUCUUUUCCACUCAUUAAUUCAACUUUCAUUUUUGACUUUUCAAACUUUCUUCUUUCUCUUUUUUUUUUUUUUCUUAACCUAAACUAUACCACCUGUAACUCCCCUCCAAACUUCCCUUCUCUUUUUAUGACGGGUUCUCUUGUCUUCUUCUUUUUUUUCUCCUCCUCUUGUUUUUUCUUUCCUCUUCCCCUUCUUUUCCACACUCUCUUCUUUUCCACGCCGAAAGGAUUUUUUUUCUUCAAUCGUUCACCCCCUACACGGUUCACCAAAAUUUUUUGAUUGAUUUUUUUGUUGCUUCUGCAGGGUUUCACACCAGUCAAUGAGGACUAUGUUUUUUUUUUUGUUGAUUUUUGGAAAACAAUAAGGGAGUUUUUGGCUUGGGGUUGUUUGAGAAAUUGUUGAUUUUUUUAGAUUUGGCAAUAGUGGUUGACGGUGGAAGCUAUGUGGUAAUGGGAGAUGGGCUUCAGUGGUAGGGGAUUAGCAUUGGCUGUGGGUUUUUUUUUUUUUUUUUGUUUCACAAAGGGGUUAGGUUGGCAGUCAAUGAGUGGGAUCUCAACUGGGGUUCUUUUGGUGGUGAGCUAUCUGUAAUGGAGAUGUGGAGGAUGGUUUUCUCAAGCUCUUGGCAGUGGUUAGGACUGGUGAUGGGGUUCGAUUAUAGAAGUCGAAUGGGAUGGUUGCUUUGGUUUUUCUUGUAUGUUGUUAUCUGUUGGUAGUCUGAAAGUGACCCCCCUUAGCUAAUUUCAACUGGGUUUUAUAACCUUUUCAGCUUUUAGAUUCAGACAGAUAUCUGGUGGAUAAGAUGGAAGAUUGUGGGUAAGGUGGAGUGCUAAUGGUAACUAAAUUUUAGCUACAGAUGGUGGCGAUAAGGUGGCUUGCAGGGUAGGGUGGCCUAGCAAAGCUAAGGGGCUAGGCAAUGCCGUGCACGACACUUGCCCCAUUCUAUCUGUUUCUUUUAUUUUUUAUUUAAUUUAAUUAUUUUUUAAAUUAAUCAAUAUUAAAUUGACCUGAUAAAAAUUUAAGAAUAAACCUCAAAGCCGAAUUAAUUUCAAAUAUGAAAUUAUUAAGGUAGGGUGGCCUAGCAAAGCUAAGGGGCUAGGCAAUGCCGUGCACGACACUUGCCCCAUUUCUAUCUGUUUCUUUUAUUUUUUAUUUAAUUUAAUUAUUUUUUAAAUUAAUCAAUAUUAAAUUGACCUGAUAAAAAUUUAAGAAUAAACCUCAAAGCCGAAUUAAUUUUAAAUAUGAAAUUAUUAAUUCAAAUAAAAAUUAGUGUCUACAUCAAUCAUAUUAUAAAAUUUUUUGAAAACAUGUUUAGCAUUUAAUU
rnacentral:lncRNA from 1 species